rnacentral:rRNA from 1 species
UGAAUACGAGAUGCUACGGCGUCGAAGCAGUGUAUGUCAGACUUCCAAGAAAAGCUCGCCAUGUCAUAAAUAAAGAAUGCCUGUACCAUAACCGACACAGGUGGGUAGGUAGAGUAUACUAAGGGGCGCGAGAUAACUCUCUCUAAGGAACUCGGCAAAAUAACUCCGUAACUUCGGGAGAAGGAGUGCCUUCUUUAAGAAGGUUGCAAUAACAAGAUCCAAGCAACUGUUUAUCAAAAACACAGGUCUCCGCUAAGUCGUAAGACGAUGUAUGGGGGCUGACGCCUGCCCAGUGCCAGAAGGUUAAAGAAGUUGGUUAGCUUUUGCGAAGCUGAUGACUGAAGCCCUGGUGAACGGCGGCCGUAACUAUAACGGUCCUAAGGUAGCGAAAUUCCUUGUCGGGUAAGUUCCGACCCGCACGAAAGGCGUAAUGAUUUGGAUACUGUCUCGGAGAGGGACUCGGUGAAAUAGACUUGUCUGUGAAGAUGCGGACUACCUGCACCAGGACAGAAAGACCCUAUGAAGCUUUACUGUAAUUUGAAAUUGAAAUUGGACUUUAUUUGCGCAGUAUAGGUGGAAGGCGUUGAAAGUAAUCUUGCGGGAUUAGUGGAGCCAUCAGUGAGAUACCACUCCUAUAAUGUUAGAUUUCUAACUUUGGAUCAUGAUCUGGUCAAAGAACAGUUUCAGGCGGGCAGUUUGACUGGGGCGGUCGCCUCCCAAAUGGUAACGGAGGCGUACAAAGGUUUCCUCUGAACGGGUAGAAAUCGUAUCUAGAGUGUAAAGGCAUAAGGAAGCUUGACUGUGAGACCUACAAGUCGAGCAGGGACGAAAGUCGGUCUUAGUGAUCUGACGGUGCUGAGUGGAAAGGCCGUCACUCAACGGAUAAAAGUUACUCUAAGGAUAACAGGCUGAUCUCCCCCAAGAGUUCACAUCGACGGGGAGGUUUGGCACCUGGAUGUCGGCUCAUCGCAUCCUGGGGCGGUAGUACGUCCCAAGGGUUGGGCUGUUCGCCCAUGAAAGCGGUACGCGAGCUGGGUUCAGAACGUCGUGAGACAGUUCGGUCCAUAUCCGGUGUAGGCGUUAGAAUAUUGAGAGGAGCCUUCUUUAGUACGAGAGGACCGAGAAGGACAUACCUCUGGUGUACCAGUUAUCGUGCCAACGGCAAACGCUGGGUAGCUAUGUAUGGAGAGGAUAACCGCUGAAAGCAUCUAAGUGGGAAGCCCACCUCAAGAUGAGUAUUCGC